rnacentral:lncRNA from 1 species
UGGUAUCUUUGAAGAAACCUUAUUUUUCUUGUUCUCAAAACUGUUGACUCUUUCCCCCAAAAACAGAAGCAUCACCUUCUUUCUUCAAGUUGAAAAUCGUAGAGAAACCUUGAGGCAAUAGCUGUACUAUUUGAAAGAAAAGGUGAAUUCUUUGAUUCUAUAUCUAUUUGUGAUUUUAGCUUGAAGAAAAAUUAUGUAUUGAAUUCUAGGGUUUCGAAAAUUUGGGGGAUUUCAUACUAGAAUUGAAGGAUGAUUUUAAUAUUGAGAUAUAGUACGUCUUUGAUGUUCCCAAGCAUGGUUAUGAUGAUUAAUUGUAUUAAUUCUUACUUGAUUUCGAGUUUACUCAAGUUAGUAUGAACCCUAGAUUUGAGGUUGAGAGUUAUGAUUGUGUUCCUGAAUAAUUGGACUCAUAUACGUGUUCUUGAGCUGGAAUUAUGUCAUAUAUGAAUAAAUUAUGAGUUUACACCACAUAGUUUGUGAGAUUGAUUUUGUUAGUUUAGGGAAAGUUAGGGCUUUCGAGUUAAGAAGGUUUAUAUGCUAUUUAUUGAUGGAUGUAGAUAUAUUAUGAUGUGAUUUUAUCAAGUAUAUGGAAAUUAGAACAGUCUACUACCUCAUUCUUUUGUAAGGCUCUAGUGUAUGGAGAGUUGUUAUGGGAAUUGUUAUGUUAUAACUAGAUGGCUAUGUUGAUGUGUUAAACAUGAGUUAAGUUUGAAGUUAAAGCAUCCUAGUAUGUAUUAUGAUCAUGUAUUUGAGUUAAAUGUUGAGUUGAAACAGAAAGUAUAUUGCUGUCAAGUUUGGCUGGACGAACCAGUGUCUUGUGAGGAGUUUUCGGGAGUGUUCUUGUGGUCCAAAUGACUUGAAAUUUUUACAGUGAUAACUUCAUUAUGAGUAUUAGAUGUCUGCAAAAUUUCAGCUAAAUCCAACACAGUUAGAUGUGUCAAACGAUUUUAUGAAAAGUACUGCACGAAGCAGCAAAGUUCAGUGGCAGAUUCUGCCUUUCUUGAUAUAAUUUCUUAUAAAUUUGAGAUAUUGUGUUUUAUAAAUUCCCGAUAAAUAUAGACUUUAGUAGAUUUCUAAAAGUGUAAAGCUUAUAUUUUUCUUUGAAGAGGUUGAUUUUAUAUGAUUUUUCAAAGUUGAGAUUCAUUUAUGAAGCCAUGUUUGAGAUUUCUUACUUGAGAUAGUUAUGAAUAGAACUAUGCUAAGUGAUUGGUGUUUUACUUACUAAUUGUAAGCUAAUCUAUAUAGAAUGGAUUAGUUUACUCUUAAGCUUUCUCAAGUGAGAUAUCCUAAGAGAUGGAAUGUUAGUAUAUGCUUUUAGUUUCGUUAAGUUCAUAAAAGUAGACGAUCUAAACUAGAGGAUGCAACUCUAAAGUUUCAGCGUUUCAUCUAGGAUUCUUUUCUGUUUGCUUCUUAUUUAUUUAUCAAAUCUUAUCUUAGGAACCUCAUUAUAAGGAGGGUUCGAGUGGCUAUAAAGUGAACAAGCAAGAACUUCUACUUCAUUAAGUAUAUCAGGUGGGCUUACUAACUCAAGAAGUAAAGAUGCAUACUUUAUUAUAUAAAGUUUGAGUGUAUGCAUUUAUUUUCCAAUUAUUGACUUGCCAAUAUUUGAGAUUUGUAUGAUACCAUCUACAUAGAACAACGAAUUCGGGUCCUGAGCGAGUCAGGAUUUGUGUACACAGAGUUGACAGUUAACCUUUGAGUUAGCUUGUCAUCGUGUUUGAGAAGGAGGCCUACUUCUCAACACUCAGAGUUAUAUGAUGCGUAGAUAUGGUACAUACAUGUUAAUUGUCUGCAGACGUAUAUGAUGUUAUGAUGAUUAUAGAGAGGUUUUACAGUUUUGCAUGCACAGGUUAUUUAAAUAAAAUUCCUGUGUGAUGUUUGAGAUGGCAAGUUCAAUAUAUAGCUCUAACAGCAAGCUUUUAAGUUAUUUGGCAUGUGACCACUGAGUGCUUUUUGGUACUCAGUCCUGCAUAUGUUUCUAAAUAUGCAGGUUAAGCUGUGAUGCAGAUGGAAGCAAGCAGAGCAANCAGUCCUGCAUAUGUUUCUAAAUAUGCAGGUUAAGCUGUGAUGCAGAUGGAAGCAAGCAGAGCAAAGCCCUCGGUGUAUAUAUGUUAAAUUAGGCUCAGGAUUCCAUGUCUUCAUACAUGUAAUCCACAUGAGUUGAGUUAUUCCGCUGCAACACUUAGUAUAUUCUACUUUAUUGAUGUGUUUUACAAAUUUUAAAUCAAUAUCUUUGAGAAUUAUGUCACUUGAAAGUUAGACAACUUGUUGUGUAUUGUAAGUUGUCUACUCAUAAGUUUUAAAAGUGUUGCCUACGAUUAUUCAAUAUUAUAAUGAUUUAUUGUUAAACUUGGU